rnacentral:rRNA from 1 species
AUGUCGCGCCUCCAGCCCCGCUCUUUCUCCAGUCCCGUCUCCUCACGAGUCAGCGAGCUGCUGGAUGAAUUCAAAUAUCAUCUGGGCUCUGGGACGCUCUGGCCGGAGCUCGCGCACCAACUAUUCGACGAAAUGCUGCGCCAACCCGUCCCGGUUUCAGCACGCGCACUCGGCGGCUUAUUUUCUGCCCUCGCGCGUGCGCGGCCCUCAACCGCCUGUACUGAUGGCCCCGCCCUCGCCAUCGAUCUCUUCAACCGCCACCGGAUAGCACCUGACAUUUACACCUACAACAUACUAAUUAACUGCUGCCACCGAGCAUGCCGCCCAGACCUAGGGCCUGCCUUCUUCGGAUGCCUUCUCAAGACAGGCAUCACGACGGACGUCAUUACCUACAGCAGUUUAUUGCAGUGCUUCUGUGACAUGAAGCGGACAGAGGAAGCUCUGGACCUGCUGCUCCAUAGGGUGAGUGAUAACCUGCCUGAUGCCAUCUCCUACUCAGUUAUUCUCAAGAGCUUCUGCGACAACGGAAGGAGCCAGUGUGCGCUUGACCUGCUCCAGAUGAUGGCCAAAAAAGGUGCUGACCAUUCCCCCAACGUGGUCUCAUACAACUUGGUAAUCAAUGGUUUCUUUAAGGAGGGUGAAAUAAGCAAAGCAUGUGAUCUGUUCCAUGAAAUGAUACAACAAGGGUUUGUUCCCGAUGUGGUGACGUAUAACUCUGUUAUUAAUGCACUGUGCAAAGCAAGAGCAAUGGACAAGGCAGAGGUGGUCCUUCGAUCGAUGGUUCAUAAUAGUGUCCAACCGGAUGUUGUAACAUAUAAUAGCUUGAUCCAAGGAUUUUUAACUACGGGUCAGCUGAAAGAAGCCUUUAGGUUGUUGAAAGUGAUGAGAAGCCAAGGUGUUAUGCCAAGCGUUGUUACUUGCACCUCAGUCAUGGACUACCUUUGCAAGCAUGGAAGAAUCAAAGAAGCUGAGGAAACAUUUUAUUCCAUGGCCGUGAGUGGCCGAAAACCAGAUACAGUCUCAUACUCUAUUAUGCUCCUUGGGUACGCUAUAGAAGGAUCCCUUGUUAAAAUGAUUGAUCUCUGUGAGAUGAUGGCAAGAGAUGGAGUUGUACCCGACCUCCGUUGUUUCAACAUACUGAUUAAGGCAUAUGCUAAGUAUGGCAGGAUGGAUGUGGCCAUGCUUUUCUUUGAAGACAUGUUGAAGCAGGGUGUGAAGCCUAAUGGAUUCACUUAUUUAAUUGUGAUAUCUGCAUUUUGCAAGAUGGGCAGGAUGGAUGAUGCGAUGGAAAAAUUCAAUGAGAUGAUUGAUAUGGGAGUACCACUUGACACAGAAGUUUACAUGUGCAUGGUUGAGGGUUAUUUUAAUCAUGGUGAUUCCAUGAAAGCCGAGGAAUUUAUUACCAAAAUGAAGAACAGGGAUAUUCAUCAUAAGCCAUGGAAAGGUAAUCGAUGA